rnacentral:snRNA from 1 species
UUCAGUGUGUACAGCAGCAAUAUACUAAACUUGGAACAGUACAGAGAAGAUUAGCAUGGCCUCU